AUGCCACUUCGGCACAUGCUUCUCCAAGCGCGGCAGCGCUGGUCUCAGCCGCCUCCACGGCUCUCCGAGCUACUUCAUGUCUUCCGCUCGCUCUCUAUUCUACCAUCCGGAGCCUCGGCCACGCCACCCUGCCGCUCUCCUACGCAAAUUCAGCUGCCCCAGACCUUGCCUUGCUCCGAUGCCAACCCACUUGGCGUGGGCUUCCACAUUGACGUUGUUGAUGACGACCUCUGGCCCGCUUCCUUCGGCUUCUCCUCGGAUCCCACGCCGGGUGACCAGUGUCUUGAUACCUUCCAAGAACAUGGAGAAGAACACAUGCACGAUUCGGAUGAUGAGAUAGAUGACAUGAGGCACCGCAAGCAGCUCUUCUACAAGCUGGACAGGGGGUCCAAGGAGUUUGAGGAGUAUAACUUGCCCUUGCGCCGCAGAUGGAAGAGAGAUAAACCCAAUGCCAAGGAUCCAUCCGAUUGCGAGAAGGUGGAACCUGAGAAGCCAGCUCGUUUGAAGGUCCCAAAGCUGAAAGCAGAGCCUGCAGUGCAUAAGGAUGACAUAGUUGAGGGGAAGAGGGACCGAGUGCCAACUUUUAACCAGAUGACUGAUCCUUACCACCACCCUUUCUGCCUGGACAUACAUGUCUCCAAGGGGUCGGUGCGUGCUUGCUUCGUCCACCGAGUGACCAGCAGGGUUGUGUCGGUCGCUCACUCCAUAUCAAAGGACAUGAAGUUUGAUCUGGGUUCAAGGAAGGGCAUCAAGGCAUGUGUGGCGGUUGGGGCGUUACUUGCGAAGCGUGCGAUAGAGGAUGAUAUUCACAAUGCAAUUUAUACACCUAGAAAAGGGGACAAAAUCGAAGGAAAAAUUGAGGUUGUGUUGCGUGGAAUAAUUGAGAAUGGAGUCGAUGUGAAGGUGAAACUCAAACAUAGGAGGAAGCUAACAAAGAAUGCGCCGGUGGUGCAGCAAGGCGGUGAGUCUCGGUGA
rnacentral:rRNA from 1 species